CGAAGCAACGCGAAGAACCUUACCAGGUCUUGACAUCCUCUGACAACCCUAGAGAUAGGGCUUCCCCUUCGGGGGCAGAGUGACAGGUGGUGCAUGGUUGUCGUCAGCUCGUGUCGUGAGAUGUUGGGUUAAGUCCCGCAACGAGCGCAACCCUUGAUCUUAGUUGCCAGCAUUCAGUUGGGCACUCUAAGGUGACUGCCGGUGACAAACCGGAGGAAGGUGGGGAUGACGUCAAAUCAUCAUGCCCCUUAUGACCUGGGCUACACACGUGCUACAAUGGGCAGAACAAAGGGCAGCGAAGCCGCGAGGCUAAGCCAAUCCCACAAAUCUGUUCUCAGUUCGGAUCGCAGUCUGCAACUCGACUGCGUGAAGCUGGAAUCGCUAGUAAUCGCGGAUCAGCAUGCCGCGGUGAAUACGUUCCCGGGCCUUGUACACACCGCCCGUCACACCACGAGAGUUUGUAACACCCGAAGUCGGUGAGGUAACCUUUUGGAGCCAGCCGCCGA
rnacentral:rRNA from 1 species